GGGGAUUUGGCUCAGUGGUAGAGCACUUGCUUAGCAAGCACAAGGCCCUGGGUUCAGUCCCCAGCUCCG
rnacentral:tRNA from 1 species